rnacentral:rRNA from 1 species
GAUGAACGCUGGCGGCGCUUCUUAACACAUGCAAGUCGAACGAAGAAGGUUAGAAUGAGAGCUUCGGCAGGAUUUCUUUCCAUCUUAGUGGCGGGCGGGUGAGUAACGUGUGGGCAACCUGCCCUGUACUGGGGAAUAAUCAUUGGAAACGAUGACUAAUACCGCAUGUGGUCCUCGGAAGGCAUCUUCUGAGGAAGAAAGGAUUUAUUCGGUACAGGAUGGGCCCGCAUCUGAUUAGCUAGUUGGUGAGAUAACAGCCCACCAAGGCGACGAUCAGUAGCCGACCUGAGAGGGUGAUCGGCCACAUUGGGACUGAGACACGGCCCAAACUCCUACGGGAGGCAGCAGUGGGGAAUAUUGCACAAUGGGCGAAAGCCUGAUGCAGCAACGCCGCGUGAAGGAUGAAGGGUUUCGGCUCGUAAACUUCUAUCAAUAGGGAAGAAACAAAUGACGGUACCUAAAUAAGAAGCCCCGGCUAACUACGUGCCAGCAGCCGCGGUAAUACGUAGGGGGCAAGCGUUAUCCGGAAUUACUGGGUGUAAAGGGAGCGUAGGCGGCAUGGUAAGCCAGAUGUGAAAGCCUUGGGCUUAACCCGAGGAUUGCAUUUGGAACUAUCAAGCUAGAGUACAGGAGAGGAAAGCGGAAUUCCUAGUGUAGCGGUGAAAUGCGUAGAUAUUAGGAAGAACACCAGUGGCGAAGGCGGCUUUCUGGACUGAAACUGACGCUGAGGCUCGAAAGCGUGNGGAGCANACAGG